rnacentral:rRNA from 1 species
GCUUAACACAUGCAAGUCGAGCGGGGAAAGGUAGCUUGCUACCUAACCUAGCGGCGGACGGGUGAGUAAUGCUUAGGAAUCUGCCUAUUAGUGGGGGACAACAUUCCGAAAGGAAUGCUAAUACCGCAUACGCCCUACGGGGGAAAGCAGGGGAUCUUCGGACCUUGCGCUAAUAGAUGAGCCUAAGUCAGAUUAGCUAGUUGGUGGGGUAAAGGCCUACCAAGGCGACGAUCUGUAGCGGGUCUGAGAGGAUGAUCCGCCACACUGGGACUGAGACACGGCCCAGACUCCUACGGGAGGCAGCAGUGGGGAAUAUUGGACAAUGGGCGAAAGCCUGAUCCAGCCAUGCCGCGUGUGUGAAGAAGGCCUUUUGGUUGUAAAGCACUUUAAGCGAGGAGGAGGCUACUUGGAUUAAUACUCUAGGAUAGUGGACGUUACUCGCAGAAUAAGCACCGGCUAACUCUGUGUCAGCAGCCGCGGUAAUACAGAGGGUGCGAGCGUUAAUCGGAUUUACUGGGCGUAAAGCGUGCGUAGGCGGCUUCUUAAGUCGGAUGUGAAAUCCCUGAGCUUAACUUAGGAAUUGCAUUCGAUACUGGGAAGCUAGAGUAUGGGAGAGGAUGGUAGAAUUCCAGGUGUAGCGGUGAAAUGCGUAGAGAUCUGGAGGAAUACCGAUGGCGAAGGCAGCCAUCUGGCCUAAUACUGACGCUGAGGUACGAAAGCAUGGGGAGCAAACAGGAUUAGAUACCCUGGUAGUCCAUGCCGUAAACGAUGUCUACUAGCCGUUGGGGCCUUUGAGGCUUUAGUGGCGCAGCUAACGCGAUAAGUAGACCGCCUGGGGAGUACGGUCGCAAGACUAAAACUCAAAUGAAUUGACGG